UUGAAUAACCCAUUGGAGGGGAUGAAUUUUACCGAACCGUUCGGCGCGCAUGAAUCUAGCUAGACGUUUUGUGUCCCUUUUCUCUGGGCAUUUUUGUCUGUCUUAUAAAUCAAUGGUUACGCGUUCGCGGAAUCGACAGUUCUGCAGUUCAGUUGAUAAUCUGCGGGUUUGCUGUCGCCAUAUUAAUUUUGAAUAAAUUUUUUGUUUCGGCAUCAUGCGAGAUAAGUGGAAAAAAAAGCGCAUGCGGCGUUUGAAGAGGAAGCGUAGGAAGAUGAGGGAACGUUCUAAGUAGUCGGCGCAAGAAGAAGCUCCUGUUAUCCAGUUUUCAGAAUCAAUUGAACGCUUGGUCCAUGAUUGCCGCAUCCAGUUCCGCGCUGUGUGGUGGGCUCGGGCUGAAAACGGAACAGAAACUGGGACCAAACCCACAGAAUCGGCUCCAGGAACCACCAAGUCAUCGGUUGUCCUCCGGAUUCAGCGCAAGACCGUCUGAUUUGUAUUCCAUUGUGUGUACCGACUGUUUCUGUUUUCGGAUUUAGCUUAGAGUAUCACCGCUGGCGUGGACUGGAUUCGGCAUUCCGUGUAACGAGAUUUUAAUUGUUUCUGUCUUUUUGGGUGUCACAGCGAAUUGUGUUCCGUUGUUUAAUUAAAAAGACGCAAAACGUUA